rnacentral:lncRNA from 1 species
AAAACAGAACAACUCUCAGAGAUUCAAGUCGAUGAGCCUAGACUGUCGGAUCUACGCUUCAGAAAAUUAAACAACCGCCUACAAUCGAUCUAUCGUACUCCAAUUAACAUGCAUGAAACAUCUUACAUCUUUAAAGAUAAGAGUAAGCUUGAAGAUGUAACGGCCCUAAUCAAGGGGAGGAAAUAGUCGGAGAAUCAGAUCGAGAGGCAAUUGAAUCAAGGAAGAGAGAAAGCGAAGAACGAAGUAACCAGAACAAAAAUCCCGGAGUAAAGCCGGCGAAAAUAGAGCUGCGAGAGCCACCGUAUCCUGGAGUCAAGAGCCGGCGAAGAUGAUGCUGACGAAGCCACCUUUUUCCGGAGACCAAAGCCUGAUGAACGGGAGGCAGAACCGGAUCGAAGACCGUCAAACAAAAGAACGGAACGCUUUCUCUCUUUUCUAUGAAAGGUAUAAGAGAGGAAACAAAGAUGAGAGAGAAAGAACGGACGCG